rnacentral:rRNA from 1 species
AUUGAACGCUGGCGGCAGGCCUAACACAUGCAAGUCGAACGAUUCUCGGACGUGUGUCUAUUGUCUGGGAAUCUGCCUUUUGGAUGUGUAUCACUACUGGAAACGGUAUCUAAUACCGCCUACCAUCGUAUUUCCCCAGAUGGGAUUAGCUUGUAGGUGGGGUAAAGGCUCACCUAGGCGACGAUCCCUAGCUGGUCUGAGAGGAUGACCAGCCACACUGGAACUGAGACACGGUCCAGACUCCUACGGGAGGCAGCAGUGGGGAAUAUUGCACAAUGGGCGCAAGCCUGAUGCAGCCAUGCCGCGUGUAUGAAGAAGGCCUUCGGGUUGUAAAGUACUUUCAGCGGGGAGGCGUUACCCGAAGAAGAAGCACCGGCUAACUCCGUGCCAGCAGCCGCGGUAAUUC